UACGUAGGGUGCAAGCGUUAAUCGGAAUUACUGGGCGUAAAGCGUGCGCAGGCGGUUUUGUAAGACAGAUGUGAAAUGCCCGGGCUUAACCUGGGAACUGCAUUUGUGACUGCAAGGCUAGAGUGUGUCAGAGGGGGGUAGAAUUCCACGUGUAGCAGUGAAAUGCGUAGAGAUGUGGAGGAACACCGAUGGCGAAGGCAGCCCCCUGGGCUGAGAUUGGAC
rnacentral:rRNA from 1 species